rnacentral:rRNA from 1 species
UACGUAGGUGGCUAGCGUUGUCCGGAUUUAUUGGGCGUAAAGCGAGCGCAGGUGGUUUCUUAAGUCUGAUGUGAAAGCCCCCGGCUUAACCGGGGAGGGUCAUUGGAAACUGGGUGACUUGAGUGCAGAAGAGGAGAGUGGAAUUCCAUGUGUAGCGGUGAAAUGCGUAGAUAUAUGGAGGAACACCAGUGGCGAAGGCGACUCUCUGGACUGUAACUGACACUGAGGC